AUUGAACGCUGGCGGCAGGCCUAACACAUGCAAGUCGAGCGGAUGAAGGGAGCUUGCUCCUGGAUUCAGCGGCGGACGGGUGAGUAAUGCCUAGGAAUCUGCCUGGUGGUGGGGGAUAACGUCCGGAAACGGGCGCUAAUACCGCAUACGUCCUGAGGGAGAAAGUGGGGGAUCUUCGGACCUCACGCUAUCAGAUGAGCCUAGGUCGGAUUAGCUAGUUGGUGGGGUAAAGGCCUACCAAGGCGACGAUCCGUAACUGGUCUGAGAGGAUGAUCAGUCACACUGGAACUGAGACACGGUCCAGACUCCUACGGGAGGCAGCAGUGGGGAAUAUUGGACAAAGGGCGAAAGCCUGAUCCAGCCAUGCCGCGUGUGUGAAGAAGGUCUUCGGAUUGUAAAGCACUUUAAGUUGGGAGGAAGGGCAGUAAGUUAAUACCUUGCUGUUUUGACGUUACCAACAGAAUAAGCACCGGCUAACUUCGUG
rnacentral:rRNA from 1 species